rnacentral:tRNA from 1 species
GGAGAGGUGGUAGAGUUGGUUUAUUGCGUCUGAUUUGAAAUCAGAUGAACCAUUAGGUUCCGUGGGUUCGAAUCCCACCCUCUCCGUAC